rnacentral:lncRNA from 1 species
GAAGAGAAGGACUAUAUUGAACAUGGAGAUUUUCAAUUUCAAUUUUUCCAUGGAGCGGCCAUGCAGGUUGUGGUCUGCAAUCUUCAAUAACUAAGGGAGCUUCACUGGGAAUGUUAGUGAAUUGAAGAAUUCUCUCUACACAUAUCAUUUUGUUCUCAACAUUACAGAGGUUCCAUAUUACCCAAGCUUGGAGUACAUUUAAACUUAAACCAUAGGUGGCUGCGAGUCCUGCCAAACCUGUUACCGCCAGAGAUAAUUGGGAUUAGGAAUUGGUAUAAGAAACCAAAAGUCAAGGUCAGGUUUCAACAAUUUCCUCUACUCAUCGAAAGGGAAUCAUCCCGUCUUAAGGUAGAAUCAGGAAGAAAUAUUUUUAAGAAUACUAGAACAAAAGUGUGCCUGCAAAUUUGUCUUGGAUAAGUAAUUUCCCUCUCGUAGUUGUUUAAUCUAAAUGGUUUUAUAUUUAUCAGCCAACUAGAAGCAAAUUAAUGGAAAGGAAACACUUACUAGGGUCAAUUGCAGACCGUGGAAGGUUCACCAAAAUGAGGAGGAGAAGGAAGAAAACAAGAUUGAAGAGGAAGUUUAUCCUGAUACUGAGCCAUUCCAUUGUUGCAGAGUUGUAAAAGGCAACACGAGAAUAAUUAUCAAUGAGAUCUAAAUUCUUUUUUAAAAAACGAUCCUCCUGAUUGAAGCAGCGAAUUGUUGCAGCCCCAGCAACAGAUUCUGACAAGUGAUGGAGGAUUGGAGCUUUCUGAAUGCCAACCAUCCUUGCUAGUUCUCUAGCUGUACUAAUGU